CCCAGGAAGAUGAUGAGGUUCUUGGCUGAGGUCUGAAUGGGCUUCAGCUUCUUGGCGGCGUCCAGGGCCUCGGCGGCUUUCAGGUUCCAGAAGGCUGGAUUCUCCUCCUCCACUGGCCAAGGGGAGAGUGCAGCUAGUUUAAAAUGUUUCCAAAGGAAAAAAAUCCAUCCUCUCGCUCUGUGUAAUGCACCUGCCUGCAGCGGCCUCCUUCCUCCUCCCAUCAGGCCUCACCACCUGAGCCACAGGCCUGCCUCACUGGCUGUCCCCUCUGCCCCCACAUGCCCUCUGCCUCCUGUGAACCAGUUUUCCAAGAAGCUGCAUCUCCAUUAAAUGACUGCAGGCUGCUUGUCCAUGGCUGGGCCACGUGACCCUGAAAGGUGGCCUGUUGGAGGGCGAAGCAGAGAUUAUCUUGGGCAUUCUUCAGCCUUUGAAUAUCUGUUUACCUUAAUUUUGUAUUGUUUUUGUUUUGGAGACUGAAUGAAAUGGUGCUAUACCACUGACCUACA